GUUGGUGCAAAAGUAACUGCGGUUUUUGCCAUUACUUUUAGUUACUUUUAAUGGAAAAAACCACAAUUACUUUUGCAC
rnacentral:miRNA from 1 species